rnacentral:rRNA from 1 species
CAGCCGUAAACUAUGCGCGUUAGGUGUAUCGGUGACCACGAGUUACCGAGGUGCCGAAGGGAAACCGUGAAACGUGCCGCCUGGGAAGUACGGUCGCAAGGCUGAAACUUAAAGGAAUUGGCGGGAGCACCACAACAGGUGGAGCCUGCGGUUUAAUUGGACUCAACGCCGGGAAGCUCACCGGAUAGGACAGCAGAAUGAUUGCCGGGCUGAAGACCCUGCAUGACUAGCUGAGAGGAGGUGCAUGGCGUAGACGUCU